rnacentral:snRNA from 1 species
GCCCCAGGGCAAACCCCGGGCACAAGAUAACAUUGGCCCGAUACAGCGAAGAUUAGCAUUGCACCUGCAUAAGGAUGAACAAACUCUGAGCGAGAGUGAGGUGUU